rnacentral:rRNA from 1 species
GAUGAACGCUGGCGGCGUGCCUAAUACAUGCAAGUCGAGCGAACAGACGAGGAGCUUGCUCCUCUGACGUUAGCGGCGGACGGGUGAGUAACACGUGGAUAACCUACCUAUAAGACUGGGAUAACUUCGGGAAACCGGAGCUAAUACCGGAUAAUAUAUUGAAUCGCAUGGUUCAAUAGUGAAAGUCGGUUUUGCUGUCACUUAUAGAUGGAUCCGCGCCGCAUUAGCUAGUUGGUAAGGUAACGGCUUACCAAGGCGACGAUGCGUAGCCGACCUGAGAGGGUGAUCGGCCACACUGUAACUGAGACACGGUCCAGACUCCUACGGUAAGCAGCAGUAGGGAAUCUUCCGCAAUGGGCGAAAGCCUGACGGAGCAACGCCGCGUGAAUGAUGAAGGUCUUCGGAUCGUAAAACUCUGUUAUUAGUGAAGAACAAAUGUGUAUGUAACUAUGCACGUCUUGACGGUACCUAAUCAGAAAGCCACGGCUAACUACGUG